GAGGCUGCUUUCGGUGUCUUUUAUCUUUCCCACUCUGGGCUCACAUGGCUAACCUUCUCUCACUCUUCACACUUGUGUUAGCUCCCUUGUUGAGGGACUCUCUACUUCCCAAGACCUGGUUCCCCAGCCUCUGGAUGCACUCUUACCGCAGGUCUUAUCAGCGAUAUGCAGGAUUAUAUUACUGAAUUAGAAAAGAUGAACUCUCAGUCAGACAUGGGGCAUAUUGACAAGAUUAUUUGGAGAAGCCAAGCACUGUCAUUCUGUACCUGCUCAGUACACCUUCAGUCUCUAGUUAUCAACAUAGUACCAUUUACCAGGACUCAAUUCACACAAAAAUGAAUGAAUAAAUAAAUGAUCUGGAGUUGUACCAAGAGAGAACAAUAUCAAAAGAUUCAAGUAUAAAUGAUGGAUCAUUUCUGUCAAAAACACCUCUGAUGUCUGCAAGACAAGUGAAAAGACACCCGAGUGUCAGUGAGUGCAUUUACAUGUGCAAUUAAUGCUAUAUGUGUUUACUGAACAGUAAACCAGCCCUGGACAGGCAUCUACAUAUGCAGCCAUUUGGGAGCAGAUUUGCUCCUUUGCCUGCUCCAGGCCUCAUCCGCCCCUGCUCUUCCCCCCCUGCAGCAGCCAGGGGAGCUGGAGGCUCCGGUCACAGCUGCCUGGGGGCCAGGGGCAUUUUUUAAAAGAAAGCCUCCAUAGCCACUGCAUUUCUGGCCUGGAGCAGUCUGCAGUGUGCUGGCACAGCUCUCUGUGACUCCGUUGCCAGUGCCUGUGCCCGCUGUAGCAACAUGUAUGGAUCUCAGAGGCAAAACCAGGAGCAGCAGAAAGGAGGAGUCUGAAGGAGGAACAGGAAGUGAAAGGGAGGAGACAGGAAGAGGAAAGAGAGUUAGAGAAGCUGGGGGAGAACAGCAGGCCCUGUAACAGCUCUGUAAGAAACUGCUAUAAUAAAGACACUGUUUAUAUUAAGUAGGGAGCUGCUCCUUGAUGACCCAUACAGGGUCACAUGAAACAUGGUGGCUGCAGAAAGUCUGUGAGGAAGCCCAAGAGAAGAGAGGGACCUGGGCCCCAGCAGUGAUUCAAACAGAUUGCAAGAAGCAUGGAGGGACUGAAGCCCCCAGCACAGCUGGAUUUCAACACAAAGAGCCUGGCACAGACAUGGAAACAAUGGAAGCAAGACUUCCAUUUGUAUACAGAGUUAGCCAUGGCUGAUAAAGAAGAUAAAAUGAAGGUAAAGCAGUAUUACUAUCUAGUGGGGGAAAAGGCUGUGAAGUAAGAGUAACACUGAUACUAGGGAGCCCUGACACACUAAAACAGUUAAUAGAAGCGUUUGAUGCAUACUGUAAGCCCAGGAGAAAUGAGACUGUAGAGAAAGAUCAUUUUUUUUCACCCAAAACUAAGAGGAAGGAAUAGAGGCCUAUAUCACAGCACUGAAAACUUUGGCAUCCUCAUGAAACUUUGGAGACACAAAAGACUCCAUAAUCAGGGAUAGGAUUGUGUGUGUGGUACACCGGACUGUGCCCUGAGGGAGAGACUACUAAGAGAGGUAGAUCUAAUCCUGGAAAAAUGUCACCAAAUUGCAAGGGCAGCAGAAUUGUCUAAACAAAAGGAUCAAAAUGAUAUCAACAGCCACAUGUACAGAGCAGAUUCAUGUCUCUGGAAACCAGGAACCUGACAGGCCAACUGCAAAUGCUGACAAUAUCAUUCAGUGUGUAUACUCUGGGAACCUGCAUGAAAGGUGGAAGGACAAAUGCCCAACCUAUGGAAAAGAGGGCAAAAAUGUGGAAAAAAAAUAACUUCAGGGGUCAGUGUCAUAGCCACCCAAAUAGGAAAAAAAAACAGUCCAUGCAGGAUCAGGAGACUACAGACGAGGAGGAAGCUUUCAGUGUAAAUUUGACAGAUUCACAGGCUCACAGGAUACACACAUUACAUAAAAAAGCAGGCAACAACUCAGUCAUAUUUGCAACAAUGAUGCUAGAGCAAAGACCUAUAAGAUUCCAUGUGGAUUGUGGAGCCACUUGCAAUGUCCUUCCUGUGAAUCUGUUGAGUAGCAGCAUCAGAAUGGAAAAUGUCACCAAGUGCUGUUAAUGUAUAACAAAAUAACUGUGAGGCCACUGGGAUUCCAGCUGACUAUAAUAAAUCCAUGCAACAAGAAACAGUACUGCCUGGAAUUUAUAGUGAUUGACCCCACUUUAUAGGGUGGACACCCAUCCACAGCUGGGCAGCACAGGUCAUAGAUUUAAUUACAGGGCAAUACCACAACAUCCUCCAGGUCACAGAAGAGCAUGAGCGGUCAUUAGGUUCGCUACCUAACAUUCUGUUAAGAUAUGGAGACAUAUUCCACAGCACUGGACUCUUUGAAGGCAAACUGAAGUUAGAAAUAGAUCCCCAGGUGCAAUCAGUAUGACUACCAAAAUGCAGAGUUCUGCUAGCCCUGCUGGAGCCACUGAAAAAAGAAUUGACAAACCUGCAGAAAAAAAGGCAUUAUCACACCAGUUGAAAAAAGCACUGACCUGGAUCAGCAGCCUAGUAGUAGUAAGGAAGCCGUCAGGCAAACUGAGAAUUUGCAUUAAUUCAAAACCACUUACCAGGACAUUCAAAAGAAGCCACUAUGCCCUGCCAAUGAUUGAGGAUGUACUACCUGACCUGUCUAGGGCAAAAGUGUUCACAGUUUGCAAUGUCAAGAAUGGAUUUUGGCAUGUGGAGCUAGACGAAUCUUCCAGCCACCUGACAACCUUUAGCAUGCCGUUUGGCAGGUAUUACUGGUUAAGGAUGUCCGUGAGGAUCAAUCCAGCUUCAGGAGUUUUCCAGCGGAACCUGAACCAGGAGCUGGAAGGUCUUCCGGGUAUCACGGUUGUGGCUGAUGAUAUUCUUAUCAUAGGAGGAAGGGAUAAUAAGGAAGAGGUGAUCCAUGACUAGGAUGCCAAACUGCAACAACUCCUUAACAGAUGCCAGGAAAGGAACAUUAAACUGAAUGUCAACAAAAUACAGCUGAGAAGAACAGAAGUACCCUACAUUGGACAUCUGCUGGAGGUGGUGAGACCCAGAGGAGGUGAGAGCCAUGAUGCAGAUGCCCAGGCCAUAGGAUGUCAAAGGAGUCCAGCACCUUAUUGGAAUGGUUAACUGUCCAAAUUUUGUGCACACUUGUCUAACGCUUGUGAGCCACUCAGGUUGUUAACACACAAUGAUGCAGCCUGGAAAUGGGCACAGACCCAAGAGGAGGCAUUCAAAAGAAUUAAACUCAUCAGUGAGGCCCCAACACUGACGUACUACAACACAGCUGAGCAACUGGUACUACAGUAUGAUGCAUCAGAAGGAGGUCUGGGAGCAGUACUGAUGCAGAAUCAGCAAACUAUAGCUUUUGCUAGUAGAGCAAUGACUGAAGCCAAAAGGAGAUAUGCACAGAUAGAAAAGGAGUUAUUAGCGGUAUUGUUUGGACUGGAACGGUUCCAUCAGUUCACCUUUAGACAGAGAGUAGAUGUGUAAUCAGAUCACAGACCAUUAGAGAUCAUAAUGAAAAAACCCUUGCUGAGUGCUCCUAAGAGACUUCAAUGUGUGCUGCUGAGACUCCAGGCCUAUGAUGUGAAUAUAAAGUACUACCCAGGGAAGUCCCUGCAAGUGGCAGAUACACUAAGUAGAACAUGCCUUCCAGAGUGCAGCACAGAUGGAUCUGUAGAACAGGAGAUAGAGUCCAUUAAUAUGGUACAGGAUUUACCCAUCUCCAAAAGCAGUCUCAAAGCAAUACAACAGUGUAUAGAACAGGAUGGUAUGCUACAAGCAGUUAAACGAACCAUCCUAGAGGGUUGGCCACAGCACAAGGCACAAAUACUACCAGAAGUUGCUGCAUACAACCAGUGGAGGGAUGAACUAUGUACACAGGAUGGAAUUCUGUUCAAGGGAGACUGGGUGGUGAUCCCAGUAGCUCUGUGGCGAGACAUCAUGAACCGACUUCAUGCUUCACACAUGGGAAUAGAGUCAUGCCUGAGGAGAGCAUGAGAGCGAAUCUACUGGCCAGGCAUGAAUGCCCACUUGAGAACAUACAUGGAGAAAUGUGAGGUGUGCAAGGAAUAUCAUGACAAACAGCAAAAAGAGACAUUGAACCCUCAUGACAUCCCCUCUUGGCCUUGAGACAAGGUAGGGACUGACUUGUUCAGUGUCAAUGACAGAAACUAUGUGGUCACUGUAGAUUACUAUUCCAAUUCUUGGGAGGUGGAUUACCUCGAAGACACUCAGGCAAGAAUGGUGAUCAGAAAGCUGAAGGCUCAUUUUGUGUGGCAUGGAAUACCUGACACACUGUUCUCAGACAAUGGCCCACAAUACACGUCAAGAGAAUUCAAACAGUUCUGCACUAGAUGAGAAUCCCAGCACAAGACAUCAUCCCCUGGGUACCCACAAAGCAAUGGGCAGGCUGAAUCAGCAGUAAAGACAGCCAAGAGACUCCUGUUGAAGGCAAAUAAGACUUCAGGGAAUCCCUACCUGACUCUAUUGGACCAUCACAACACACCCUCCCAAGGAAUGGACAGUAGCCCAGCCCACAGAUUAAUGGGCCAGAGAACUAAGACAUUACUCCCCAUGGGAGACUGUUUGCUACACCCCCAAGGGGGAAGGGGGCACAGGAUAUGGAAGCAGCUAAAAAAGCAACAGUCUCAGCAAGUAUCAACAGUAUAACAAAGGAGCGAGAGACCUGAAACCACUGUGCAGAGAGGAAAAGGUCUGGGUACAACCAGUAAUUCCACAUGUGAAAGAAUGGCAAAAGGCCACCAUUGAGGGUACAGUGGGAGAUAGAUCCUAUGAAGUUGUCACAGAUAGUGGACAGCAACUGAAACAUAACUGGAAGCAGCUGCAGAGUGCUGGCAGAGCAGAAAGACAGGAAGAGGAAGAGAGUUAGAGAAGCUGGGGGAGAACAGUAGGACCUGUAACACCUCUGUAAGAAACUGCUAUAAU